CCUACGGGAGGCACCAGCGAGGAAUCUUCCACAAUGGGCGCAAGCCCGAUGGAGCAACGCCGCGUGGAGGACGACGGCCUUCGGGUUGUAAACUCCUUUCGGGAGGGAUGAAACGGACAGUACCUCCAGAAGCAGCCCCGGCUAACUCUGUGCCAGCAGCCGCGGUAAUACAGAGGGGGCAAGCGUUGUCCGGAAUUACUGGGCGUACAGCGCGCGCAGGCGGUCAUGGACGUGCCGUGUGACAUCCGUCGGCUCAACCGACGGAGGCCAGGGUACACGACAUGACUGGAGACAGAGAGAGGGAUGUGGAAUACCCGGUGGAGCGGUGAAAUGCGUAGAGAUCGGGUGGAACACCAGGGGCGAAGGCGGCAUCCUGGCUCUGUUCUGACGCUGAGGCGCGAGAGCGUGUGGAGCAGACCGGAUUAGAUACCCGUGUAGUC
rnacentral:rRNA from 1 species